rnacentral:rRNA from 1 species
GACGAACGCUGGCGGCGUGCUUAACACAUGCAAGUCGAACGAUUCCUCUGGAGCUUGCUCCGGUGGACUUGUGGCGAACGGGUGAGUAACACGUGAGCAAUCUGCCCUUCACUCUGGGAUGACUGCGGGAAACUGUAGCUAAUACCGGAUACGAGACCUUGGGGCAUCCCAGGGUCUGGAAAGAAUUUCGGUGAAGGAUGAGCUCACGGCCUAUCAGCUAGUUGGUGAGGUAAUGGCUCACCAAGGCGACGACGGGUAGCCGGCCUGAGAGGGUGACCGGCGAGACUGGGACUGAGACACGGCCCAGACUCCUACGGGAGGCAGCAGUGGGGAAUAGUGCACAAUGGGCGAAAGCCUGAUGCAGCAACGCCGCGUGAGGGAUGAAGGCCUUCGGGUUGUAAACCUCUUUUAGUAGGGAAGAAGCGCAAGUGACGGUACCUACAGAAAAAGCACCGGCUAACUACGUGCCAGCCGCCGCCGUAA